ACCUAAUAGAUACCCAGGUAGUCCACGCCCUAAACGAUGCGAACUGGAUGUUGGGUACAUUACGGUACUCAGUGUCGAAAGCUAAACGCGUUAAGUUCGCCGCCUGGGGAGUACGGUCGCAAGACUGAAACUCAAAGGAAUUGACGGGGCCCGCACAAGCGGUGGAGUAUGUGGUUUAAUUCGAUGCAACGCGAAGAACCUUACCUGGCCUUGACAUCUGUCGAAUCCUGCAGAGAUGCGGGAGUGCCGCAAGGAACGACAAGACAGGUGCUGCAUGGCUGUCGUCAGCUCGUGUCGUGAGAUGUUGGGUUAAGUCCCGCAACGAGCGCAACCCUUGUCCCUAGUUGCCAACACGUAAUGGUGGGAACUCUAGGGAGACUGCCGGUGACAAACCGGAGGAAGGUGGGGAUGACGUCAAGUCCUCAU
rnacentral:rRNA from 1 species